UACAGAGGGUGCGAGCGUUAAUCGGAAUUACUGGGCGUAAAGCGCGCGUAGGCGGCUUUUCAAGUCGAUUGUGAAAUCCCCGGGCUUAACCUGGGAACUGCAGUCGGGACUGUCUGGCUAGAGUAUGGGAGAGGGAAGUGGAAUUUCAGGUGUAGCGGUGAAAUGCGUAGAUAUCUGAAGGAACAUCAGUGGCGAAAGCGACUUCCUGGACCAAUACUGACGCUCAUGUGCGAAAGCGUGGGGAGCAAACAGG
rnacentral:rRNA from 1 species